UACGUAGGUGGCAAGCGUUGUCCGGAUUUAUUGGGCGUAAAGCGAGCGCAGGCGGUUUCUUAAGUCUGAGGUGAAAGCCCCCGGCUCAACCGGGGGGGUGCAUUUGAAACUGGGAGACUUGAGUGCAGAAGAGGAGAGUGGAAUUCCAUGUGUAGCGGUGAAAUUCGCAGAUAUAUGGAGGAACACCAGUGGCGAAGGCGGCCCUCUGGUCUGUAACUGACGCUGAGGCGCGAAAGCGUGGGGAGCAAACAGG
rnacentral:rRNA from 1 species